rnacentral:rRNA from 1 species
UACGUAGGAGGCAAGCGUUAUCCGGAAUGACUGGGCGUAAAGGGUGCGUAGGUGGUUUGACAAGUUAGUAGCGCAACUCCGGAGCUCAACUUCGGAACUACUACUAAAACUGUAGAUCUUGAGUACUGGAGGGGAAAGCGGAAUUCCUAGUGUAGCGGUGAAAUGCGUAGAUAUUAGGAGGAACACCAGUGGCGAAGGCGGCCUGCUGGACUGUAACUGACGUUGAGGCUCGAAAGCGUGGGGAGCAAACAGG